GAGGUCAGCUACAACCCCCGCAAAUUUCAUUAAAUAGCGGGAGUUUACAUGUCCGACACAAAUAAAAGAAACUAGCGGGGGUUUGGAACCUCCACCAUCUGGGAAAAAAAUAGCGCGCAAUUUUUCCCUCACUUUUUUUUUUUUUUUGGCUUGGCUCUUUUUUCUCUGAAACAAAAAAGGUGUCUCAAACCCUCCCUGUCUCUCAAAACCCUCUGUGUCUCAAACCCUCCCUCUCUCACUACUUUUUAUUCCACCCCAACUAUAAUGGGUGCUGAUUAAAUAGAAGCUGGAGUUUUUGAAUUUAAGGCCAUUGAUCUCAAAGCCAAGUGAUGCGGCUAGUGGAUCCCUUUCGCCCAUGGAUGCAAGAAGAUCAUGCGGUGAUAGUAAUCCUAGUGACAACCGUUGAUUUCAUUGUAUUGUUUGGUAGGAACGGAUGUUAGAACGCUGGAGUGAAUGUAUUAUGUUUAAAUUUAGUUUUUGAGUGAUCUGAUAAUGCUACUUAAAUUUUUAGUUUAAAAAACUAAUGGUACUUUAUGAUAACAUUUGUGAUUUUACGAUAUGUUAUUGAUAUCUCUUAAAGUUUUAA